AUACGGAGGAUCCGAGCGUUAUCCGGAUUUAUUGGGUUUAAAGGGUGCGCAGGCGGGAGAUUAAGUCGGCGGUGAAAUUUUGCAGCUCAACUGUAAAAGUGCCUUCGAAACUGGGUUCCUUGAGUGUAGAUGAAGGAGGCGGAAUUUGUGGUGUAGCGGUGAAAUGCAUAGAUAUCACGAGGAACUCCGAUUGCGCAGGCAGCUUACUAAACUACUACUGACGCUCAGGCACGAAGGCGUGGGGAUCAAACAGGAUUAGAUACCCUGGUAGUCCACGCAGUAAACGAUGAUUACUAGCUGUUUGCGAUACAAUGUAAGCGGCUGAGCGAAAGCGUUAAGUGAUCCACCUGGGGAGUACGUCCACAAGAAUGAAACUCAAAUGAAUUGACGGGG
rnacentral:rRNA from 1 species